rnacentral:rRNA from 2 species
GCAGCCUGAUCCAGCAAUGCCGCGUGAGUGAAGAAGGCCUUCGGGUUGUAAAGCUCUUUUGUCAGGGAAGAAACGGGUGAGGUUAAUACCUUUGCCUAAUGACGGUACCUGAAGAAUAAGCACCGGCUAACUACGUGCCAGCAGCCGCGGUAAUACGUAGGGUGCAAGCGUUAAUCGGAAUUACUGGGCGUAAAGCGUGCGCAGGCGGUUAUACAAGACAGAUGUGAAAUCCCCGGGCUCAACCUGGGAAUUGCAUUUGUGACUGUAUGGCUAGAGUGUGUCAGAGGGGGGUAGAAUUCCACGUGUAGCAGUGAAAUGCGUAGAUAUGUGGAGGAAUACCGAUGGCGAAGGCAGCCCCCUGGGAUAACACUGACGCUCAUGCACGAAAGCGUGGGGAGCAAACAGGAUUAGAUACCCUGGUAGUCCACGCCCUAAACGAUGUCUACUAGUUGUCGGGUCUUAAUUGACUUGGUAACGCAGCUAACGCGUGAAGUAGACCGCCUGGGGAGUACGGUCGCAAGAUUAAAACUCAAAGGAAUUGACGGGGACCCGCACAAGCGGUGGAUGAUGUGGAUUAAUUCGAUGCAACGCGAAAAACCUUACCUACCCUUGACAUGUACGGAAUCCUGAAGAGA